rnacentral:misc_RNA from 1 species
GUUAAAUGCCUUGAAGCUUGGAAAUAGAGAAACUUAUUAGAUAGAUUGUUUGGGUAGAAUGGUAGUAGUGAUUUUGGGCAACGUUCGAUGGUGAAACGAUGAGGCAAAAGGAAUUGUAUGUGUUGGGUGGAAUCAUAUGUUAAUUCAAAAAGUUGUUAGUAUCUUUGUCCCGCUAGCCUUUCUCAUAUAGCCGUUAGUGAUGGUUAUUUCAAAAGGUAGUUAUGAGUUCACCGCCCAUUAUGUGCGCCCCUCCUCCCCCUCGUCAGGGUCUAUUUGAAAAGUCGAGUAAUUGGAGGGACAAGAGGGGAGCAAAAAAAACCUGUCUUUGUUUUCCUUCAUUUUGCCGAGCUGUUUUGAAAAUGGUCGAGGGGGAAACUAAUAAAGGCUCCUUUUCUUUUGUUGGUUGGGAUCCAGUGAAAGUUGAAGUGGGCUUUGCGAAUUGUGGCCUUGGCUAGAAUAGCUAAUAGGCGCUAAAGCCCUUUGUUUGGCGCCCUCUACAAUAUCAGACUGGGGGAAUGGGAUGUGUUGUAGCUUGGUAGUGUGUUUUGCUAGGCAAGGGAGAAGGGGCCUCAUAUUUUAAAGUAAUACAAUUAUUUUGAAAUUUGAUAUGAAUUGAGUGCCAGCGAGAGCGAUACCAUUUUCAUACUUUCUACGUACAACGUUAAAAAGUACCUAAAUACAUUUUUUUCUUUUACACUGUUUUGAAAAUUUU